UGGUUGUCGUCAGCUUUGUGUCGUGAGAUGUUGGGUUAAGUCCCGCAACGAGCGCAACCCUUGAUCUUAGUUGCCAUCAUUAAGUUGGGCACUCUAAGGUGACUGCCGGUGACAAACCGGAGGAAGGUGGGGAUGACGUCAAAUCAUCAUGCCCCUUAUGACCUGGGCUACACACGUGCUACAAUGGACGGUACAAAGAGCUGCAAGACCGCGAGGUGGAGCUAAUCUCAUAAAACCGUUCUCAGUUCGGAUUGUAGGCUGCAACUCGCCUACAUGAAGCUGGAAUCGCUAGUAAUCGCGGAUCAG
rnacentral:rRNA from 1 species